rnacentral:lncRNA from 1 species
AUAUUUUCAAAACAUCCCUAUCCUUGGCCUCUUAAUUGCUGUCUCCUGCAUAUAAGUGGUUUUGGUCCUCAAAUCAUUGCUUCCUCUCCACCCAGCUCACCAUGUAACCUCAUGCCACUCUGUUUUCAUAUACUUAAUUUGAAACGAUAAAGCCUUCUUAUUUUUUGACUCUAAAACAUUCAAACUUAUGAUUUGUGUUAAAUACAUUAAAAAGUGCACGGUACAAUAAGAAAGCUUUUAAACUUAAAAUCUAAGUAUUUUAUGGUCGAGAAAGUAUGUACGUAUAUAUAUAAACAAAAGGGAUCUUGGUAUGUGUAACAUACCACAGAACCACAGCUCUGCUGGCCUGAAAGAAGACCUCUAUUUUAUUUUUGCCCAACCACAAACUGGUCUGAAAACGAGGAAGAAUACGUUUAUGAAGGAGAAUGCUUGAGCAAUCAAUCAACCUGAAAAUCAGAGAGAACUACCUCCCUUCUGAAAACUGUGAUUGAUCUUUCAAUAGCCACAAAUGAUGGGAGUUUAUUUUACAAGUUAGUCUGGAACCUUCCUUAAACUUACUGUAUACACAAAUCAUUAAAUCCAGAGGAAAGGCAUUUGGUUAUGAGAUAACCAGAACCUUAGAUAGAACCCUGCCACAUAGUUCUCCUAAAAUUGACAGUGAACAGUGAAGGCAGGAGUUCCUGUCGUGGCGCAGCGGAAACAAAUCUGACUAGGAACCAUGAGGUUGUGGGUUCGAUCCCUGGCCUCGCUCAGUGGGUGAAGGAUCCAGCAUUGCCGUGAGCUGUGGUGUAGGUCGCAGAUGCAGCUCAGAUCCCAUGUUGCUGUAGCUGUGAUGCAGGCCAGAGCAAGCUCCAAUUGAACCCCUAGCCUGGGAACCUCCAUAUGCUGAGGGAGCGGCCCUAGAAAUGGCAAAAAGACCAAAAAACAAAACAGAACUUAUAUCUGUUUGGACACAAGCAUCAAGAAUACAUUAAAUAUAUGUAAUGUUUUUGGCCAAGCCCACAGCAUGCGGAAGUUCCUGAGCCAGGGAUGGAACCCUCACCACAGCAGUGACCCAAGCCACAGCAGUGACAAUGCCAGGUCCUUAACCUGUUGAGCCACCAGGGAACUCCAGGAAUACAUUGUAUUUUUGAUAUGUAUGUUUAAGGAUGUUUCAAGAAAAACAACUAUAAGUCAGGGUUUUUUUUUGUUUUUGUUUUUGUUUUUUUUUCUUUUUAGGGCCGCAAUCACAGAAUAUGGAUGUUCCCAGGCUAGGGGUCGAAUCAGAGUUGCAGCUGCUGGCCACAGCCACAGCAAUGUGGGAUCCAAGCCACAUCUGUGACCUACACCACAGCUCAGGGCAAUACUGGAUCCCCAACCCACUGAGCAAGGCCAGGGAUCGAACCCACAUCCUCAUGGAUACUAGAGGGAUUCGUUUCCUCUGCACCACCAUGGCAACUCCUAAGUCAGGUCUUUUUGACAUGGUAGGUGCUACGUGGAAUCAAUCAUAAAAUUGUCCUCAAAAAUUCUGGAAAUAGGGAAAUAAAAUUGCUAGGAAUCACACUUUUUAAAAACAUGCAUAUAAUGGAUUAGAAUGGAGAGAUACAAAGUCACCUUUAAAAAAAGUCAGGUCCCUAAGCCAAGACUUGACUACAAAUUGACUGAAGGUAGGUAAUAACCUAUUUUUAGAAUUAAUAGCUCACCGGGGGUGGAGGGUGGGAAUAGAAGUGUCAGCCUCAGGAAAUGGAAAGUCAGGCUGAUUCUGCAGCGGUUCUUGUCCCUAGCCCAGGAGACCGAAGCCUGGUCCACUCUGUUCAGUCCCGCAGGUGUCCCUCUGUGUAGAUGGAGCCGAGUGCAUCCACUUUAUCAAGAGCCAUGACAUCAUCCAUUCAUGUCAUCGGGAAUUGCCAUGUGCCUCAUUCCGCACCCGCCACAUCCCUUAUAUAGAGGAGCUAAAUAGGUUUGGAGCUUUUCUCCCCCGCCGCCCCUGCUGCUCCUUGGUCUGUGAGUUUAACCCAUGCUAAUGUGCCUCUAAGAGAUUAUUGCAUUCUCAGUGCACCAACAUACUAAGUUUCUAUACCAGCAAAACCUCAAACAGUGAUGAACUUACCCAUGUCGUAUUCCUUCCGGGGGAACUGAUGAUGACUAGCCCGCCCUGCCUCACCCAACAGAUAUCAGACCUCCCUCGCCUGCAAUACGAGAUGUAUAGGAAGUGAGGCUUUCCCAGUAUGUCUGUGGUACCUGUUCAAGUCUAUUCUGUCCCACCACACAGCCCCAGUCCCUGAUCCCCAAAUCACUUUAUCCAGCCCUCACCUUUAUCAUCCCAAACAGGGUGCGCCUUUACACCAGGAGGCAGGAAACUCAAAUUCUAGUUACAAUC